UACGGAGGGUGCAAGCGUUAUCCGGAUUCACUGGGUUUAAAGGGUGCGUAGGCGGGCAGGUAAGUCAGUGGUGAAAUCCCCCGAGCUUAACUCGGGAACUGCCAUUGAUACUAUCUGUCUUGAAUAUUGUGGAGGUAAGCGGAAUAUGUCAUGUAGCGGUGAAAUGCUUAGAUAUGACAUAGAACACCUAUUGCGAAAGGCAGCUUACUACGCAUAUAUUGACGCUGAGGCACGAAAAGCGUGGGGGAUCAAAACAGGA
rnacentral:rRNA from 1 species